GCAUGUUACAUUCAACUCUACCAUCAGAGUUACCUUUCCUGAAUGGCCUGGACGAUCAUCUUAAGAGCUAUCAAGAUGCAUAAACUAGCUCUGGUAAUUACAGUGUGUAUGUUACUAGUACAAAGUUCCACUGCUCAAUCAACCACAACG